rnacentral:rRNA from 1 species
GACGAACGCUGGCGGCGUGCCUAACACAUGCAAGUCGAGCGAUGAAGCCUUUCGGGGUGGAUUAGCGGCGGACGGGUGAGUAACACGUGGGUAACCUGCCUCAAAGAGGGGGAUAGCCUCCCGAAAGGGAGAUUAAUACCGCAUAACAUUAGUUUUUCGCAUGAAGAACUAAUUAAAGGAGUAAUCCGCUUUGAGAUGGACCCGCGGCGCAUUAGCUAGUUGGUGAGGUAAAGGCUCACCAAGGCGACGAUGCGUAGCCGACCUGAGAGGGUGAUCGGCCACAUUGGAACUGAGACACGGUCCAGACUCCUACGGGAGGCAGCAGUGGGGAAUAUUGCACAAUGGGCGAAAGCCUGAUGCAGCAACGCCGCGUGAGUGAUGAAGGCCUUCGGGUUGUAAAGCUCUGUCUUUUGGGACGAUAAUGACGGUACCAAAGGAGGAAGCCACGGCUAACUACGUGCCAGCCGCCGCCGUAACAC